GAUGAACGCUGGCGGCGUGCCUAAUACAUGCAAGUCGAGCGAACAGACGCGGAUCUUGCUCCUCUCACGUUAGCCGCACAGGUGUGUGUAACAUGUGUAUCACCUACCUAUCAGACUGGUAUCACCUCGGGACUCCGGCUCUAAUACCGGAUGAUAUCUUGAACCACGUUGUUCAUUAGUGAGAUACGGUUUUGCUGUCACUUAUCGAUGCAUCCCCGCCGCAUUAGCUAGUUGGUACGGUAACGGCUUACCAAGGCAACGAUGCGUAGCCGACAUGAGAGGGUGGUAGGCCACACUGGAAGUGAGACACGGCACAUAGGCCUACGGGAGGCAGCAGUAGGGAAUCUGCCGCAAUGGGCGAAAACCUGACGGAGCAGCGCGGCGUGAGUGAUGAAGGUCUUCGGAUCGUAAAACUCUGUUAUUAGGGAAGAACAAAUGUGUAAGUAACUAUGCACGUCUUGACGGUAACUAGUCAGAAAGCCACGGCUAACUACGUG
rnacentral:rRNA from 1 species